GAUGAACGCUGGCGGCGUGCUUAACACAUGCAAGUCGAACGGAAAGGCCGAAGCUUGCUUCGGUACUCGAGUGGCGAACGGGUGGGUAACACGUGGGUGAUCUGCCCUGUACUUCGGGAUAGGCUUGGGAAACUGGGUCUAAUACCGGAUAUGACGAUCUCUUGGAUGGGGUUGUGGAAAGCUUUUGCGGUAUGGGAUGAGCUCGCGGCCUAUCAGCUUGUUGGUGGGGUAAUGGCCUACCAAGGCGUCGACGGGUAGCCGGCCUGAGAGGGUGUACGGCCACAUUGGGACUGAGAUACGGCCCAGACUCCUACGGGAGGCAGCAGUGGGGAAUAUUGCACAAUGGGCGCAAGCCUGAUGCAGCGACGCCGCGUGGGGGAUGACGGCCUUCGGGUUGUAAACUCCUUUCGCAAUCGACGAAGCCUUUUGGUGACGGUAGGUUGAGAAGAAGCACCGGCUAACUACGUG
rnacentral:rRNA from 1 species